GCAGCGCUGGGCGUCCGCCCAGCGAGGAUCGCAAC
rnacentral:other from 1 species